rnacentral:rRNA from 1 species
ACACAUGCAAGUCGAACGAGCGAGAGAGAGCUUGCUUUCUCGAGCGAGUGGCGAACGGGUGAGUAACGCGUGAGGAACCUGCCUCAAAGAGGGGGACAACAGUUGGAAACGACUGCUAAUACCGCAUAAGCCCACAGGUCGGCAUCGACCAGGGGGAAAAGGAGCAAUCCGCUUUGAGAUGGCCUCGCGUCCGAUUAGCUAGUUGGUGAGGUAAUGGCCCACCAAGGCAACGAUCGGUAGCCGGACUGAGAGGUUGAACGGCCACAUUGGGACUGAGACACGGCCCAGACUCCUACGGGAGGCAGCAGUGGGGAAUAUUGCACAAUGGGGGAAACCCUGAUGCAGCGACGCCGCGUGGAGGAAGAAGGUCUUCGGAUUGUAAACUCCUGUUGUUGAGGAAGAUAAUGACGGUACUCAACAAGGAAGUGACGGCUAACUACGUGCCAGCAGCCGCGGUAAAACGUAGGUCACAAGCGUUGUCCGGAAUUACUGGGUGUGAAGGGAGCGCAGGCGGGAAGACAAGUUGGAAGUGAAAUCUAUGGGCUCAACCCAUAAACUGCUUUCAAAACUGUUUUUCUUGAGUAGUGCAGAGGUAGGCGGAAUUCCCGGUGUAGCGGUGGAAUGCGUAGAUAUCGGGAGGAACACCAGUGGCGAAGGCGGCCUACUGGGCACCAACUGACGCUGAGGCUCGAAAGUGUGGGUAGCAAACAGGAUUAGAUACCCUGGUAGUCCACACUGUAAACGAUGAUUACUAGGUGUUGGAGGAUUGACCCCUUCAGUGCCGCAGUUAACACAAUAAGUAAUCCACCUGGGGAGUACGACCGCA